UUAUUUGGAUGGUUCAUACUACAGGUACAUGAUCACUUCCACAUGACCCUGGUUGCACCAGACAUCCACCAAAUGAGAUGAUCCACCGUUCUGCACCCCCAAUAGCUUCAACCAUAACCCUGCACAGCUCAAGAAAAGUGCACUCAGUGGUCUCAGGUCAAUGAACAUGAGUGCUGGACAAACAUUGAGUAAUGCAGUGAGAGAAAGAGGAAGCGUGGCCCCGUGGUACCCUUUUUAUUGUCCCCGCUAUUGUC